UCUCCGUUGGUGAACCAGCGGAGGGAUCAUUACCGAGUUUACAACUCCCAAACCCAAUGUGAACGUUACCAAACUGUUGACUCGGCGGGGUCACGCCCCGGGUUCGUAGCAGCCCCGGAACCAGGCCCCCGCCGGAGGAACCAACCAAACUCUUUCUGUAGUCCCCUCGCAGACGUUAUUUCUUACAGCUCUGAGCAAAAAUUCAAAAUGAAUCAAAACUUUCAACAACGGAUCUCUUGGUUCUG
rnacentral:misc_RNA from 1 species